rnacentral:rRNA from 1 species
AUGAACAAACAACCAGAGCACUGGAAUUAUGUAGAUAAAUCACUGGGUUAUGGUUUGGGGACAAGUCCUACUUUUGAAGGGAUGGAACAAGUACUCAACCUUAGUUAUAAUAAUCUUCCUCGGCGUUUGAAGGCAUGCAUGUUGUAUCUCAGCAUAUAUGAAGCAGAUUACAUUAUUUUGAAGGACGAUUUGGUAAAGCAAUGGACUGCUGAAGGUAUUGUCUGUGAAACAGAAGAGAAAAACGUGGAGGAAAUCUCAAGGAGAUAUUUUGAUGAGCUUAUAAGAAACAGAAUGAUCCAGCCUGUCCAUUUAAAUGACAACGGUGAGGUUUUAUCCUGCACAGUACACCACAUGGUACUUAACUUCAUUGCCCACAAGUCUAUAGAAUAG